AAAGAAAAGAAGUGCGUAUUAUCAACAUAAGUCAGCAAUGUCUUUCUGAGACUGUUUCACUUUUCAGUAUGUCUAGAUUGUGCAUUGUUGGUUUUUCUAUCAAGAGUAUUACUGGAAGUAUGCAUUUGAACGCUGUUAGUACAUUUGUUUGAUGCUACAUAAGUAAAAUGGUCGGUAUUAUCAAUGAAAGUAACUGUACAUUAACAACUCUCACAAUAAAAUAAACUCUGUACCCUGCAAUGAAGUUGUCAAACAUUGUGAUUCAAAUAAUGAGAUUUGUAAUCGAGAGU
rnacentral:lncRNA from 1 species